UGUACCUAAAUUAAUUGAUUGACAUCAUGGAAUUUCAAGAGUCUCUAAAAUAAUAUUUUGUUCAAUUCUAGAAUCUUUUAGAAAAUCUGACAAAUUAAAACUUUCCAACUCCAGUUCCAUAGUACUAACAUGAUUACCAUCUUGUCUAUUCAUCCAAUAUGCAAUUAUAUGAUCAAAAUCGUCAAUAACAUCUGAAGGAACUAAGUACUCUCCCGGUCCCCUGUACUAGUAUUUCAUUCUAAUGUGUUCAACAACUUACCUUUAAUCAGCAUUAAUUGC
rnacentral:lncRNA from 1 species